rnacentral:tRNA from 1 species
UGGGGCGUCGCCAAGCGGUAAGGCACCGGUUUUUGGUACCGGCAUUCGGAGGUUCGAUCCCUCCCGCCCCAG